rnacentral:rRNA from 1 species
UACGUAGGGGGCGAGCGUUGUCCGGAAUUAUUGGGCGUAAAGAGCGUGUAGGCGGUUCGGUAAGUCUGCCGUGAAAACCUGGGGCUCAACCCCGGGCGUGCGGUGGAUACUGCCGGGCUAGAGGGUGGUAGAGGCGAGUGGAAUUCCCGGUGUAGAGGUGAAAUUCGUAGAUAUCGGGAGGAACACCAGUGGCGAAGGCGGCGAUCUAGGCUGAUACUGACGCUGAGGUGCGAAAGCGUGGGGAGCAAACAGG